rnacentral:rRNA from 1 species
GAUGAACGCUAGCGGCGGGCUUAAUACAUGCAAGUCGAGGGGUGGUAGCAAUACUACACCGGCGCACGGGUGCGUAACGCGUAUGCAAUCUACCUUUCACAGAGGGAUAGCCCAGAGAAAUUUGGAUUAAUACCUCAUAGUAUUAUAGGAUGGCAUCAUUUUAUAAUUAAAGUCACGACGGUGAAAGAUGAGCAUGCGUC